GGGGAUGUCAAGUUGUUGCCUUGAACUUCCAGACAGGCGGAGAGGAAAUGCAAUUGCUACAUGGGAAAUUCCUUGACAAUGGAAACAGCGGAUAUGUUUUAAAACCACAGUGUCUCAUGGGAGAUAAUUUUGAAGCACUUGUUGGAAACAGGCCAUCAUCCACCCGAAAGCGUCUGACUAUCAAAGUGCUGAGUGGAUUUCAGUUGCCGAA